AACGAACGCUGGCGGUGCGUCUUAAGCAUGCAAGUCGAACGGUAACGGGCCUUCGGGUGCCGACGAGUGGCGAACGGGUGAGUAACACGUAGGUGAUCUGCCUUUGGGUUGGGGAUAGCCUGUGGAAACACAGGGUAAUACCGAAUGAUGUCGUAGUACUGUGGUGCAACGAUUAAAGGGGCUAUGGCCCCGCCUGAAGAUGAGCCUGCGGCUGAUUAGCUAGUUGGUGAGGUAAAGGCUCACCAAGGCGACGAUCAGUAACCGGCCUGAGAGGGUGGCCGGUCACACGGGGACUGAGAUACGGCCCAGACUCCUACGGGAGGCAGCAGCUAAGAAUCUUCCGCAAUGGACGAAAGUCUGACGGAGCGACACCGCGUGAGUGAUGAAGGCGGAAACGUUGUAAAGCUCUUUUAUGGAUGAGGAAUAAGUCUGGGAGGGAAUGCCCGGAUGAUGACGGUAGUCCAUGAAUAAGCCCCGGCUAAUUACGUGCAGCCGCCGCAGUAA
rnacentral:rRNA from 1 species